UGAUGUCUUUUCAAAAGAGAAAUAUAAAUGUGUGCGUAAGCGCGAGUGCAUGUGAGGUUCUUUGUAGGUUUGAAGGUUGGAAUCAUUAAACGUUGUGCAUUUGACAAUGCUGGACAGGUCUCCAAAGUUGGUUGUUGAAGUUCCAAUUCACUUGGAUUGAAAGGUGGUUACUGAGGGACUCUAAGAUUUCCAUGCGGGCUAGGGAGGAUCAGGGAAGCAAUAACCGCAGGGACCACAUAGAGUUGCUAAGUUUGCAGGUUGGAGGUUAACCUUUUUGCGAUUCAUGGAUCGAACUCUCAGCAGCGACCAUUGAGCUUCUGUUACUUCGAGUGCAUUGUUUGCAAGAGCACUGGUGACUUAAGAGCAAUUUUUUUAAAAAUCGAGCUGAUUUAGGGUGGAUUUUCCUAGCUUUUUGUAUCAAGUUUUCCAUCACGUGAUUUUUGGUGUGAAUUUGAAGUAACACAAAUGUACUUCCCUUACAGACGAAAUUGAUUAUGCGGGGAUUGAAUGCUGUCUUUUUAGUAUGGAUGACAUGACGAGGUUGUUUUUUUUACUAACUAGCAAUAAACAGGUUUGCAUGAAAAGGUGAAAGCCAAACAGCAACGUAUUUUGAAUGCACAAAAGUUGAACUUGAAGGACGAAGAGCUGAAGUGGAGCCAAAACAUCCAGCACAGCGCAUGGCGUGAGAUGUAUUUAGUCUUCUGAGUAAUUGAAUGGCCUUUUGGGGCUUCUCUCUUGCUUGCACGUGGAUUGCAGGGGAGGGAUUUGACUGGGGCUCAGUGGCGUUUGUGGAUUGCUGCAGCGAUGUAAAUAUAUGAAUGACAUCAGCACGGUCUCUAACAUCUUCAUUGAUAUAUCAAUCGAGAUAAUUUUCUUUAAUACUGAGUUUCAGUUGUUGGAUUCACUUCAUAAUGAUCUCUUUGAGACUUACUUGAAUCGACGAAGGAUUGUGAAUGCUGGAUAUACCUUGAAGUAUGAUAAUUUUGAAUUGGGCCAAGAUUGCCAGUUGAUUACUAGUUGUUCUCUCUUCUCCCGUCCACAGGGAAGGGCAUCGCAGCUGUGAUGCAUCACUGAAGCAUCACCCCAACUAAACAAUUACUCUGGCCUUCGAGCUUUGAGCGCACAAGGGACAGAGAGAGAGUGACAGAGAGACUAGGGUUACAAGCAUUUUCUCAAGAACGACACCGAUCCAUUGCGAAGGCGGAGAGAGAGACAGAGUUUUUGUAAUCGACAUCGGGGGUGGUUAUGGCGUGAAUUGGUUUAAAUUAAUUCUUCAGUGCGGUGGACUACAAUGAUGAAAAUUCAUUGAGCUUGGAGGUUUCAUAAAUUACAAAUGAGAAAAAAUAAAAUAAAAAAUUCAGAAAAGGUACAGCACUUGGUGUUUGUUAGUUUCUUAUUCAUUCUUUUAGAUAAAAAUUUAUCGGACAGAGACAUUUUUCACAAACAUUUGAUAAUUGUGUACUCUAUUUAAACAGAAUUUUUAUUUUCUAAAUUCUGUGCAUUACAUUACAUUUAGCAGA